GACGAACGCUGGCGGCGUGCCUAAUACAUGCAAGUCGAACGCAGAUGGGACGGGUGAGUAACACGUGGGUAACCUCCCAUCAGAGGGGAUAACACUUGGACACAGGUGCUAAACAGAUCCUGAUGUAUGAACUCGCGGUGCAUUAGCUAGUUGGGGAGGUAACGGCUCACCAAGGCCACGAUGCAUAGCAGAUCUGAGAGGGUGUGCGGCCACACUGGGACGGAGACACGGCCCAGACGCCUACGGUAGGCAGCAGUGGGGAAUAUUGCACAAUGGGCGCAAGCCUGAUGCAGCCAUGCCGCGUGUAUGAAGAAGGCCUUAGGGUUGUAAAGUACUUUCAGCAGGGAGGCGUUACCCGCAGAAGAAGCACCGGCUAACUCCGUGCCAGCAGCCGCGGUAAUAC
rnacentral:rRNA from 1 species